rnacentral:lncRNA from 1 species
CCAUGGCAGUCCACGGUGGCCGUCAGGUUGGCAUGGUUGGUGAGCUGAGCGGUCCUUAUGACGUUUAGUUGUUCCUCUAGUGCUGUAAUUCGGUUGCCAUGGUUUCCUAUCAUGUCUAAUGCCGGAACGGGGCUCUGACACCAAUUGUAAUGUCCCUGGAGGCUAGGGUUCUGGCGACGGAUAGAAGAAUAGGAUAGGGAUGAGAAGAGAGAGGAUUGAGAGAAGGAGAGGGAGAGAGAAUUGAGCUGUAAAACUUGUUGUUCAUUAAUUGAUUCUUGCCUCCGCAUGAGACGGCUGAAAUACAGAGGAUAAGGCGGCUGCCGUACUAGUCGUUGCAACAGUGAAAACGACAAAACGUCCUACUUUAGAAACUAGCAAUCUAGUCAUGACAAAAUAGUCCAAAUCGAUACAAUGAUCGAGAAAUAAAAUUGAAAGGAAAGGCUAACGACGGAGUCUACAUAGAUCGGAGAUGAGGAGGGGUGAUCGAGCGAGAACCGAAAAGUGUUCUGGAUCCUCUAGCUUUCAUCGAUAGCAACCGAGGAACAAAGUGGGUGGAGCGCCGCUGCGGUUUGGGUGAGAGAUCGAGAGGAAGAAGGAUCGGUGGUGAUUGUCGGGCGUUCAUAGGCAACAUUAAGAGACGACAUCAUCGGGAUUUGGAGGAGGACUACUAUUUGACGCUCUAAUUUUCGAAUUAUAUGACGCCCUAAAUUUCGUAAAGACGAAAUUAUAUCCAAAUUUACUAAUUCGAAAAACUUUAUCGAUGAAACUAUCAAAAUUUAUAAUUAGAGAAAUGUUG